rnacentral:rRNA from 1 species
UGAAUACGAGACGCUAAGGCGUCGAAGUAGUGUAUGUCAUACUUCCAAGAAAAGCUUGCACUGUCAUAGAUAAAAAACGCCUGUACCAUAACCGACACAGGUGGGUAGGUAGAGUAUACUAAGGGGCGCGAGAUAACUCUCUCUAAGGAACUCGGCAAAAUAACUCCGUAACUUCGGGAGAAGGAGUGCCUUAUUCGUAAGGUUGCAAUAACAAGAUCCAAGCAACUGUUUAUCAAAAACACAGGUCUCCGCUAAGUCGUAAGACGAUGUAUGGGGGCUGACGCCUGCCCAGUGCCAGAAGGUUAAAGAAGUUGGUUAGCAAUUGCGAAGCUGAUAACUGAAGCCCUGGUGAACGGCGGCCGUAACAAUAACGGUCCUAAGGUAGCGAAAUUCCUUGUCGGGUAAGUUCCGACCCGCACGAAAGGCGUAAUGAUUUGGAUACUGUCUCGGAGAGGGGCUCGGUGAAAUAGACUUGUCUGUGAAGAUGCGGACUACCUGCACCAGGACAGAAAGACCCUAUCAAGCUUUACUGUAACUUGAAAUUGAAAUUGGACUUUAUUCGCGCAGUAUAGGUGGGAGGCGUUGAUUAUAAUCUUGUGGGAUUAUUGGAGCCAUCAGUGAGAUACCACUCUUGUAAUGUUAGAUUUCUAACUUUGAAUCAUUAUCUGGUCAAAGAACAGUUUCAGGCGGGCAGUUUGACUGGGGCGGUCGCCUUCUAAACGGUAACGGAGGCGUACAAAGGUUUCCUCUGAACGGUUAGAAAUCGUAUCUAGAGUGUAAAGGCAUAAGGAAGCUUGACUGUGAGACCUACAAGUCGAGCAGGGACGAAAGUCGGUCUUAGUGAUCUGACGGUACUGAGUGGAAAGGCCGUCACUCAACGGAUAAAGGUUACUCUAGGAUAACAGGCUGAUCUCCCCCAAGAGUUCACAUCGACGGGGAGGUUUGGCACCUCGAUGUCGGCUCAUCGCAUCCUGGGGCGGUAGUACGUCCCAAGGGUUGGGCUGUUCGCCCAUGAAAGCGGUACGCGAGCUGGGUUCAGAACGUCGUGAGACAGUUCGGUCCAUAUCCGGUGUAGGCGUUAGAAUAUUGAGAGGAGCCUUCUUUAGUACGAGAGGACCGAGAAGGACAUACCUCUGGUGUACCAGUUAUCGUGCCAACGGUAACGCUGGGUAGCUAUGUAUGGAGUGGAUAACCGCUGAAAGCAUCUAAGUGGGAAGCCCACCUCAAGAUAAGUAUUCUCC